GCAGCUUUGAACAUUCCACAUGUGCGUCCAAAAUCGCGUACUUACACACUAGUCUAUGACAUUCUGUAGUAUAAAUAGUGCGAGUAGU